rnacentral:lncRNA from 15 species
UGUUGUACUGAAUAGAGAGAGAGAGAGAGAGAGAGAGAGAGAGAGAGAGAGAGAGAGAGAGAGAGAGAGAGAGAGAGAACCUGUUUGAAUGUAUCGACAUAUAUGUCAGGGGUGCAUGGAUAAGAAAUCAAGGUGUUUGACCACCAGGGUGCCCAGGUGGUCCUAAUGUUAUGGCUGAUCGGCGUACCUAUAAAUAAAGAUAUAACAUUAUAUUAUAACAUUUGCAGACAUGUUUUUACACACAGCACACACCCUCAUCAAAAUACAGGGCAUUGGAUGGAACAACAGCUGGAAUAUACUGCAUAACAUGCACAAAUUAACAAUACAAUUAUACUAUAUGGUGUAAUAUGAUUAAAUUCAAUGGUCUCAUGUUUCAUAGAUGUGCAAUAAUUAAUUUUAAAAUUAUUGAGUGAAUGAGGGAAAAGUAAAUAUAGACAAUUUCAGCAUUAGGCAGCAACACUAAACACAAAUUAAAUAUAAAAUGUUAGUAUAUGGUGUGAUAUGGUUAAAUUCAAUAUUCUUGUGUUUUAUGGAUUUGCAAUCAUUAUUAGUGGGCAGGAAGUGUGAACAUGUCAAAAUAUGCUGCGGUCAAAGCAACUGCACUUUGAGUUUUGUGUAAAGGGGGAAGGAAGAAAGAACAGGCUAUAUUCAGAAGGAGAAGUUGAUUGAAAACUCACAUUUAUAUGAAAUGUUACUUCUCUUUCUCUGCUUUAUUAUUGCAAAAUAGAAACAUUUCUCAGAAGCAGAGCAGCAGAGCGACAGUGUCGCUGCUGGAUGUGAAGAUGGGGCACACUUUGCUCUGUGUGCUGGGGUUGUUCUUGCUGAACACACUCCUCUGUGGACAUGCUAAAGGUGACUAAUUGUUUUUUUCUGUUUUUUAAAUACUCACUCACUCACUCACUCACUCACUCUUUUUGUGUAGUGACAUUGUGUGCUGGCCAGUGUGUUUUUAGUAUUACCUGAAGGAGCUGCCAAAUGUUCAUGUAUGUUGUAAACAUGUAAUUAAUAAUUAAGAUAAGAUAAGAAAUACCUGCAUUCACUUUGUUUGAAGGAGACUCAGUGACUCUGAGCUGUAGGUGUCGUAGCACCAGUGGCGUAUCCAGGACAUUUUUACUGGGGUGACCAAGAUGGGACACAAAGCUAGUGUGGGGUGGCCAUGGCAUAGCAAAGUUUAAUGCGUAUACAUAUGCAGCCGACCACGGUUCGAAUCCCGGUCCUUUGCUGCAUGUCACAGCCCCUCUCUCUCCCAUGAUUUCCUGUCUCGUAACUGUCAAAUAAAGGUGUCUAUGCUGGUAAAAUAAUAUAUUUUUUAAAAAGUCAUUUUUUCACCUAUCACAGUCCUCAAGUAUCUCUGGUUAUUUUAACAUGUCUAUUUUUAAUCAGUAAUUAUGUUCAGGAUAGGGUACAAAUUUUCAAUUUCAAAGUGAUAAGUUACAAAUUGAAUUUGUGAUCAGUAUUACAACUUCCCUGUUAUUUAAAUGGAAGGCACUCAUAAUGUCGUGUAAACUGUAAGAUGAAAUGUCACAACAUACCCUGACGUCCAGGUGGGGCAGCAUGUACUCUGUCAUUGGUGUCACCAUCACCUGCUGACAUCCCCUCUGAAUCACUUUGCUCACUAGAUGAAGUACCUGAAGUAGUAAAAACAAUAACCAUUACACCCAUAGACUGUAU